AACGAACGCUGGCGGCAUGCCUAACACAUGCAAGUCGAACGAGACCUUCGGGUCUAGUGGCGCACGGGUGCGUAACGCGUGGGAACCUGCCCUUAGGUUCGGAAUAACUCCCCGAAAGGGGUGCUAAUACCGGAUAAUGUCUUCGGACCAAAGAUUUAUCGCCUUUGGAUGGGCCCGCGUUGGAUUAGCUAGUUGGUAGGGUAAAAGCCUACCAAGGCGACGAUCCAUAGCUGGUCUGAGAGGAUGAUCAGCCACACUGGGACUGAGACACGGCCCAGACGCAUAAGGGAGUAAGCAGGGGGGAAUAAAGCACAAUGGGAGCAAUGCUGAUGAAGCGAUGCAGCGUGUAGGAAGAAGGCCUUCGGGUCGGAAAGAAGUGAAAGCGGGGAGGAAGGGAGUAAAGUUAAUACCUCGCCUCAUUGACGUCACCGGCAUAAGAAGAACCGGAUAACGCCGUG
rnacentral:rRNA from 1 species